GACGAACGCUGGCGGCGUGCCUAACACAUGCAAGUCGAGCGAUGAAGCUUCUUCGGAAGUGGAUUAGCGGCGGACGGGUGAGUAACACGUAGGUAACCUGCCCAUGUGCCCGGGAUAACUUCUGGAAACGGAUGACUAAAACCGGAUAGGUAGCAGACAAGCAUUUGACUGCUAUUAAAGUGGCCUUGGCCAUGAACAUGGAUGGACCUGCGGUGCAUUAGCUGGUUGGUGAGGUAACUGCUCACCAAGGCGAUGAUACAUAGCCGGCCUGAGAGGGUGAACGGCCACAUUGGGACUGAGACACGGCCCAGACUCCUACGGGAGGCAGCAGUAAGGAAUUUUCGGCAAUGGGGGAAACCCUGACCGAGCAACGCCGCGUGAGUGAUGAAGGCCUUGGGUUGUAAAGCUCUGUUGUAAAGGAAGAACGUGCUAAGAAGGAAAUGUCUUAGUAUUGACGGUACUUUACCAGAAGUCACGGCUUACUACGUGCCAGCAG
rnacentral:rRNA from 1 species